UGCGUGCGUUCCGUGGCGGCGGAAGGCGGAGGUGGGGGUCCAGGCCGCUUGAGGGGAGCUCCUGUUGCCGGUUGCUGGGUUUUCGGGCUGCGGGAGACUUUGGCUGUUGGUUUAGUGCCAUGCAUCCUUUACAGUGUGUCCUGCAAGCACAGAGAAGGGGCCCCUGGGCUUCUGUGUCCUGGCUGCUGCUCAGGACCUGCAGGGCACAGAGUAGUGUCCACGGCACCACAUGUCCCGGUCCAGAGAGGCAGCAGGAAAAUGGAGUUCGGAAGGAUUUCAGCUCUAGGCUGGCUGCUGGCCCGACUUUUCAGCAUUUUUUAAGAAGUGCUUUAGAUCCUCAAGAGAAGCCUGAUGUGGAGGACCCACCCCCCUAUCUCACAGUGGAUGAACUUUCUGGGAGGCAGAGAAAAGUCUACCUGGAGACCUAUGGCUGUCAGAUGAAUGUGAAUGACACAGAGAUAGCCUGGUCUGUCUUACAGAAGAGUGGCUACCUGCGCACCAGGAACCUCCAAGAGGCUGAUGUGAUCCUCCUUGUCACAUGUUCUAUCAGGGAGAAGGCUGAACAGACCAUCUGGAAUCGUUUACAUCAGCUUAAAGCCCUGAAGACAAAACGGCUCCGCUCCCGAGUGCCUCUGAGGAUUGGGAUUCUAGGCUGCAUGGCUGAGAGAUUGAAGGAGGAGAUCCUCAACAGGGAGAAAAUGGUGGAUAUUUUGGCUGGUCCAGAUGCCUAUCGGGACCUUCCUCGGCUGCUGGCUGUUGCCGAGUCAGGUCAACAAGCUGCCAAUGUGCUGCUCUCUCUGGAUGAGACCUAUGCUGAUGUCAUGCCAGUCCAGACAAGCCCCAGUGCUACAUCAGCCUUCGUGUCUAUCAUGCGAGGCUGUGACAAUAUGUGCAGCUACUGCAUCGUCCCUUUCACUCGUGGCCGGGAGAGGAGUCGGCCUGUUGCUUCCAUUCUAGAGGAAGUGAGGAAGCUUUCUGAGCAGGGGCUGAAAGAAGUGACACUCCUUGGUCAGAAUGUUAAUAGUUUUCGGGACAGUUCAGAGAUCCAGUUCAACAAUGCAGUGUCUACCAACCUCAGCCGUGGCUUCUCCACCAACUAUAAACCCAAGCAAGGAGGCCUUCGUUUUGCUCACCUUCUGGAUCAUGUCUCCAGAGUAGAUCCUGAAAUGAGGAUCCGUUUCACUUCUCCCCACCCCAAAGACUUUCCUGAUGAGGUUCUGCAGCUGAUUCAUGAGAGAGACAACAUCUGUAAACAGAUCCACCUACCAGCCCAGAGUGGAAGCAGCCGUGUAUUGGAGGCCAUGCGGAGGGGAUAUUCAAGAGAAGCUUAUGUGGAGUUAGUUCAUCAUAUCAGAGAAUCUAUUCCAGGUGUGAGCCUCAGCAGCGAUUUCAUUGCUGGCUUUUGUGGUGAGACAGAGGAAGAUCACCUCCAGACGGUGUCUUUGCUUCGGGAAGUUCAGUAUAACAUGGGCUUCCUCUUUGCCUACAGUAUGAGACAGAAGACCAGGGCAUAUCACAGGCUGAAAGAUGAUGUUCCAGAAGAGGUGAAAUUAAGGCGUUUGGAGGAACUUAUUACUGUCUUUCGAGAAGAAGCAACAAAAGCUAACAUGGCCUCUGUGGGUUGUACCCAGCUAGUGCUGGUGGAGGGGCACAGUAAACGCUCUGCCACUGACCUGUGUGGCCGGAAUGAUGGAAACCUUAAAGUGAUCUUCCCUAAUGUAGAGGUGGAGGAUGUUUCUAACUCUGGGGUCAGGGUUAGAGCUCAGCCUGGGGACUAUGUGCUGGUGAAGAUUACGUCCACCAGCUCUCAGACACUUAAAGGACAUGUUCUCUGCAGGACCACCCUGAAGGACUCCUCAGCAUAUUGCUGACCUGAGUGGAUGGCCUUAGAGUUGACAUGGGCUGUCCUUCCUGACAGGAAGGGAGAUAGGACUGGUCACUAAAGAAAGAGACAAGGGCUUUCGAGGCAGCCACGUCCAGGGAAGGCAGAAGAUUUAACAACUACCUACAAGGCACUGAGCAGAAGGUGCACCUAUUUGGGUGUGGACCGAUCGAAUAUUAGCAGGCGACACAAUGGUGAGUUUUGCAGCUGCCUCAGUCACCCGGUCCCGGAGGGGCCCCCAAGUGGACCCAGGCCCCCUGAGGAACAAAUAAUUUCAAGGCUUACUCACCCAGGAAAGUGA